rnacentral:rRNA from 1 species
GCAACGCGAAAAACCUUACCUACCCUUGACAUGUCCAGAAACCUAGAAGAAGGAUUUGGGUGGUGCCCGAAAGGGGAAACUGGAACACAGGUGCUGCAUGGCUGUCGUCAGCUCGUGUCGUGAGAUGUUGGGGUUAAGUCCCGCAACGAGCGCAACCCUUGUCGUAAUUGCCAUCAUUUAGUUGGGGCACUUUAACGAGACUGCCGGUGACAAACCGGAGGAAGUGGGGAUGACGUCAAGUCCUCAUGGCCCUUAUGGGUAGGGGCUUCACACGUCAUACAAUGGUCGGUACAGAGGGUUGCCAAGCCGCGAGGUGGAGCCAAUCCCAGAAAGCCGAUCGUAGUCCGGAUCGCAGGCUGCAACUCGCCUGCGUGAAGUCGGAAUCGCUAGUAAUCGCGGAUCAGCAUGUCGCGGUGAAUACGUUCCCGG